AAUAGAUGACACCAUUGACUUUUUAUCACAUGUUUGACCAUUCGUCUUAUUCAAAAAAUUUACGUAAUUAUAAUUUAUUUUGUUAUGAGUUGUUUUAUCACUCAUUGUACUUUAAGUGUGAUUAAUAUCUUAUACAUUUGCAUGAAAUUUUUGAAUAAGACGAAUGGUCAAACAUGUCAGAAAAAGUCAACAGCGUCAUCUAUU
rnacentral:pre_miRNA from 1 species